AGCUCGUGUUGUGAAAUGUUGGGUUAAGUCCCGCAACGAGCGCAACCCUUAUCCUUUGUUGCCAGCGGUCCGGCCGGGAACUCAAAGGAGACUGCCAGUGAUAAACUGGAGGAAGGUGGGGAUGACGUCAAGUCAUCAUGGCCCUUACGACCAGGGCUACACACGUGCUACAAUGGCGCAUACAAAGAGAAGCGACCUCGCGAGAGCAAGCGGACCUCAUAAAGUGCGUCGUAGUCCGGAUUGGAGUCUGCAACUCGACUCCAUGAAGUCGGAAUCGCUAGUAAUCGUGGAUCAGAAUGCCACGGUGAAUACGUUCCCGGGCCUUGUACACACCGCCCGUCACACCAUGGGAGUGGGUUGCAAAAGAAGUAGGUAGCUUAACCUUCGGGAGGGCGCUUACCACUUUGUGAUUCAUGACUGGGGUGAAGUCGUAACAAGGUAACCGUAGGGGAACCUGCGGUUGGAUCAC
rnacentral:rRNA from 1 species